AUACGUAGGUGGCAAGCGUUGUCCGGAAUUAUUGGGCGUAAAGCGCGCGCAGGUGGUUCCUUAAGUCUGAUGUGAAAGCCCCCGGCUCAACCGGGGAGGGUCAUUGGAAACUGGGGAACUUGAGUGCAGAAGAGGAUAGUGGAAUUCCAAGUGUAGCGGUGAAAUGCGUAGAGAUUUGGAGGAACACCAGUGGCGAAGGCGACUGUCUGGUCUGUAACUGACACUGAGGCGCGAAAGCGUGGGGAGCAAACAGGAUUAGAUACCCUGGUAGUCCAAGCCGUAAACGAUGAGUGCUAAGUGUUGGGGGGUUUCCGCCCCUCAGUGCUGCAGCUAACGCAUUAAGCACUCCGCCUGGGGAGUACGGUCGCAAGACUGAAACUCAAAGGAAUUGACGGGG
rnacentral:rRNA from 1 species